rnacentral:rRNA from 1 species
GACGAACGCUGGCGGCGUGCUUAACACAUGCAAGUCGAACGGAAAGGCCCUGCUUUUGUGGGGUGCUCGAGUGGCGAACGGGUGAGUAACACGUGAGUAACCUGCCCUUGACUUUGGGAUAACUUCAGGAAACUGGGGCUAAUACCGGAUAGGAGCUCCUGCUGCAUGGUGGGGGUUGGAAAGUUUCGGCGGUUGGGGAUGGACUCGCGGCUUAUCAGCUUGUUGGUGGGGUAGUGGCUUACCAAGGCUUUGACGGGUAGCCGGCCUGAGAGGGGGACCGGCCACAUUGGGACUGAGAUACGGCCCAGACUCCUACGGGAGGCAGCAGUGGGAAAUAUUGCACAAUGGGCGGAAGCCUGAUGCAGCAACGCCGCGUGCGGGAUGACGGCCUUCGGGUUGUAAACCGCUUUCGCCUGUGACGAAGCGUGAGUGACGGUAAUGGGUAAAGAAGCACCGGCUAACUACGUG